ensembl:snoRNA
CCUCCUUCUCUUGGCAGGGCUCAGGUGUGUAGUCCUGCUCCCCAUUAUGUGCACAGGUAGAGGGAAAGGGCUCCAGCCCACCUGGCAUCAUGUCUUCGGUGCCAGUGGCUUCCUAUCUGACAGUUCUAUCCUCAAAUGCCGGGACACCG